rnacentral:rRNA from 1 species
GAUGAACGCUAGCUACAGGCUUAACACAUGCGAGUCGAGGGGAAACGACAUCGAAAGCUUGCUUUUGAUGGGCGUCGACCGGCGCACGGGUGAGUAACGCGUAUCCAACCUGCCCACCACUUGGGGUUAACCUUGCGAAAGUAAGACUAAUACCCAAUGAUAUCUCUAGAAGACAUCUGAAAGAGAUUAAAGAUUUAUCGGUGAUGGAUGGGGAUGCGUCUGAUUAGCUUGUUGGCGGGGUAACGGCCCACCAAGGCUACGAUCAGUAGGGGUUCUGAGAGGAAGGUCCCCCACAUUGGAACUGAGACACGGUCCAAACUCCUACGGGAGGCAGCAGUGAGGAAUAUUGGUCAAUGGGCGAGAGUCUGAACCAGCCAAGUAGCGUGCAGGAUGACGGCCCUAUGGGUUGUAAACUGCUUUUAUAAGGGAAUAAAGUGAGUCUCGUGAGACUUUUUGCAUGUACCUUAUGAAUAAGGACCGGCUAAUUCCGUGCCAGCCGCCGCGGUAA